rnacentral:rRNA from 1 species
CCUACGGGUGGCAGCAGUGAGGAAUAUUGGUCAAUGGCCGGAAGGCUGAACCAGCCAAGCCGCGUGAAGGACGAAGGUGCCAAGCAUUGUACACUUCUUUUGUCAAGGGACAAAAUCAGGCUCGAGAGCCUGACCGAGGUUACUUGAAGCACAAGCAUCGGCUAAAUACGUGCCAGCAGCCGCGGUAAUACGGAGGAUGCGAGCGUUAUCCGGAUGUAUUGGGUUUAAAGGGUGAGUUGGCGGACUGUUAAGUCAGAGGUAAAAGCCCGGGGCUCAACCCCGGCGAGCCGUGGAAACUGGCUGUCUUGAGAGGGCGAGAGGUAUGCGGAAUGCGCAGUGUAGCGGUGAAAGGCUUAGAUAUUGCGCAGAACUCCGAUUGCGAAGGCAGCAUACCGGCGGCGAUCUGACGCUGAGGCACGAAAGCGUGGGUAUCGAACAGGAUUAGAUACCCGAGUAGUC